rnacentral:rRNA from 1 species
AUUGAACGCUGGCGGCAGGCCUAACACAUGCAAGUCGAGCGGAUGAAGGGAGCUUGCUCCUGGCUUCAGCGGCGGACGGGUGAGUAAUGCCUAGGAAUCUGCCUGGUAGUGGGGGAUAACGUCCGGAAACGGGCGCUAAUACCGCAUACGUCCUGAGGGAGAAAGUGGGGGAUCUUCGGACCUCACGCUAUCUGAUGAGCCUAGGUCGGAUUAGCUAGUUGGUUGGGUAAAGGCCUACCAAGGCGACGAUCCGUAACUGGUCUGAGAGGAUGAUCAGUCACACUGGAACUGAGACACGGUCCAGACUCCUACGGGAGGCAGCAGUAGGGAAUAUUGGACAAUGGGCGAAAGCCUGAUCCAGCCAUGCCGCGUGUGUGAAGAAGGUCUUCGGAUUGUAAAGCACUUUAAGUUGGGAGGAAGGGCAGUAAGUUAAUACCUUGCUGUUUUGACGUUACCAACAGAAUAAGCACCGGCUAACUUCGUG